rnacentral:rRNA from 1 species
AGUCUUUUGUAAUUUAAUUAAAGAUGUUUUCUGCUCAAUGAUUAUUAAUAAAUAGCCGCAGUAAUUUGACUGUGCAAAGGUAGCAUAAUCAUUUGCCUUAUAAUUGAGGGCUGGAAUGAAUGGAGAUACAAGAGCUAAUCUGUCUUUUUGGAUAAAUUAGAAUUUGUUUUUAGUGUGAAGAAACAUUAAUGUGGAAAUGUGACAAGAAGACCCUUUUGAGCUUUAUUUUGUUUGUCAAUUUUUUUGAUUGUGAAAUUUGGUUGGGGCGACCUAGGAAAAUGGUAUCUUCUUUAUUUUAUUAUGAUCCAUGUUUUAUGAUAUAUAGAUUAAGUUACCAAAGGGAUAACAGCGUAAUUUUUUUUGUGAGUUCUUAUUAAAAGAAAAGAUUGCGACCUCGAUGUUGACUUAUUUUUUCCAUUAGGUGUAGUAGUUUAGAUGGUAGGUCUGUUCGACCUUUAAAAUUUU